AUCCGAAUUUGGCACCGGGAUCAGGAUGAUCAAGGACGCCCUGGACCCAGGUGGAGGCUCGCCCUGGCAAGUCGAAACCUGCGACGAUCCCUAAUCGGGCUCGCUCGGGCACUUAGGUUUUGCCAGUGGGGAGGUUUUCGGACCAUCCCUU
rnacentral:snRNA from 13 species